rnacentral:misc_RNA from 1 species
GGCUAUUAUAAUUUCAAAAUGUAAUUUAUUUCAGUACAGUGCAUCUAUUAAUCAUGAUAAUUAAUGAGAUACAUUACAGAAUACACGUAACUAAAAAGUUUAUUUCCCAAAGCAUGAAGAUUUAUUAUCAAAAUAGACAAUAAUAGCCCAUGGUGAUAAUACACUUUUAGCAUUUUUCAACCCUCAUUUCCAUCAAUUUUGCUAUCUGGUCCGCACCUAAUGUUGCACUUCCCAUCACAACGAGCGUAUUCUCUCGGUGGGAGACCAACACAAGCAGUAUUGCAACUGUCCCAGCAAUUGACACCCUGAGCUGCGACGCCGACGAUGUCGGUGUUGGCCGAUAAAAGGAUCAAAAACACCAAAGCCAUAGCUGCCACUGAAUUCAUUUUCUUGUUUUCCAUUGUUUUCU